UACGUAGGGACCGAGCGUUGUCCGGAAUCAUUGGGCGUAAAGAGCGUGUAGGCGGCCAGGUAGGUCGGUUGUGAAAACUGGAGGCUCAACCUUCAGAGGUCGACCGAAACCAUCUGGCUAGAGUCCGGGAGAGGAGAGUGGAAUUCCUGGUGUAGCGGUGAAAUGCGCAGAUAUCAGGAAGAACACCCGUGGCGAAAGCGGCUCUCUGGAACGGUACUGACGCUGAGGAGCGAAAGCGUGGGGAGCGAACAGG
rnacentral:rRNA from 1 species